rnacentral:rRNA from 2 species
GGAUCCAGACUUUGAUUAUGGCUCAGGAUGAACGCUAGCUACAGGCUUAACACAUGCAAGUCGAGGGGCAGCAUGGUCUUAGCUUGCUAAGGCCGAUGGCGACCGGCGCACGGGUGAGUAACACGUAUCCAACCUGCCGUCUACUCUUGGGCAGCCUUCUGAAAGGAAGAUUAAUACAAGAUGGCAUCAUGAGUCCACAUGUUCACAUGAUUAAAGGUAUUCCGGUAGACGAUGGGGAUGCGUUCCAUUAGAUAGUAGGCGGGGUAACGGCCCACCUAGUCUUCGAUGGAUAGGGGUUCUGAGAGGAAGGUCCCCCACAUUGGAACUGAGACACGGUCCAAACUCCUACGGGAGGCAGCAGUGAGGAAUAUUGGUCAAUGGGCGAGAGCCUGAACCAGCCAAGUAGCGUGAAGGAUGACUGCCCUAUGGGUUGUAAACUUCUUUUAUAAAGGAAUAAAGUCGGGUAUGCAUACCCGUUUGCAUGUACUUUAUGAAUAAGGAUCGGCUAACUCCGUGCCAGCAGCCGCGGUAAUACGGAGGAUCCGAGCGUUAUCCGGAUUUAUUGGGUUUAAAGGGAGCGUAGAUGGAUGUUUAAGUCAGUUGUGAAAGUUUGCGGCUCAACCGUAAAAUUGCAGUUGAUACUGGAUAUCUUGAGUGCAGUUGAGGCAGGCGGAAUUCGUGGUGUAGCGGUGAAAUGCUUAGAUAUCACGAAGAACUCCGAUUGCGAAGGCAGCCUGCUAAGCUGCAACUGACAUUGAGGCUCGAAAGUGUGGGUAUCAAACAGGAUUAGAUACCCUGGUAGUCCACACGGUAAACGAUGAAUACUCGCUGUUUGCGAUAUACAGCAAGCGGCCAAGCGAAAGCGUUAAGUAUUCCACCUGGGGAGUACGCCGGCAACGGUGCAACUCAAAUGAAUUGACGG